GGUUUAUUCACCUCAACAGCUGUUUAAAUUCAGUGUCUAUGGAUUCAGGUGGAUAUACAGUCACAGAAUAAUUUCAGGUAUAAGGUUUGACAAAUUGCACCUGGUUGCUGCUGACAGGCAGUGGGACUAAGGCCCUAUUAAAACAUAUUAUAUGAAUGUGUCAUCUUGGAUUGUCUUCGUAUUUUAUUCUCUACUAAGGUAU
rnacentral:lncRNA from 1 species